CCGAGAGCGAUAAAACUGAUAUCACCGAAUCCCGAGUACGAUAACCUAUUUAUUAUAUACUUGUACCUUUAUCAGGGUUUGACACCCAAAAGUAAACAGUUUUGAAAAAAUAGGAUCAUUUUGGAAUUCAAAACAAUUCAUCAUUUACUGAACAAAUAUGAUUUUAGAAAAUAAAUAGACCAUUCAUAUAAAUAAUAUACAAUUUAAGUCUUUCGUUUUGUAUUAUCGUUCUUGUUUUCUUCGAUAAACUGUCGACAUCAACCAACACGAACCUCGAGUCGGCCAUCUUUGUUUUGACAAGGCGCGAAAUUUAGCGGGACAAAAAACGAUAUCCGGGACAAGAAACGAUAUCCGGGACAAAAAACGAUAUCCGGGACGAUAUCGUUUUUAUGUCCCGCUGCUUCCUACCUG